rnacentral:rRNA from 1 species
GUACUGUGCAAACGUUAUUCGGAAUCACUGGGCUUAAAGGGUGCGUAGGCGGUGAUUUAAGUAGGGUGUGAAAUCCCUCGGCUCAACCGAGGAACUGCGCUCUAAACUGAAUCACUUGAGUAAGAUAGGGGUGUGCGGAACUUCCGGUGGAGCGGUGAAAUGUGUUGAUAUCGGAAGGAACGCCAGUAGCGAAAGCGGCACACUGGGUCUUAACUGACGCUGAGGCACGAAAGCCAGGGUAGCGAACGGGAUUAGAUACCCCGGUAGUCCUGGCUGUAAACGAUGAGUACUAGUUGGAAGGCGCUUACGCAUUUUCCGACGUAGCAAACGUAUUAAGUACUCCGCCUGGGGAGUAUGGUCGCAAGGCUG